rnacentral:misc_RNA from 1 species
CCAAGCUUGCUGGGUUCGCUGAACAAAGCCUGUGGAGUGGAUUGCUCAGUCCAACCCGCUCCAACCCGCUCCAUCUCUCUCCUCUCAACUCUUUCGGUAUUUUGAUUUAUAACAACUUAGCUUUGGCAAUCGACAUGGCAAACAAUGCAGGAAACCGAGGAGAUGCAACAAAGAAAAAAUUGAAUUUGUAUAAAGCUGCAUUGAGUGGCGAUUGGGAGAUGGCUGAAUGCAACGGACCAUUAACAGCAACGCUCAAUGAGGAUGGGGAGACUGCUCUCCAUAUAGCAACUGCAGCAAGCCAGACUCAUUUUGUGAAAAUGCUUGUUGGUAAGAUUUCUAGAGAGGAUUUAGCUAUUGAAACUAUACCCCCAGACCCAACAGAAACUCCAAACACAAAUGCAGCUAGAGCUCCACCUCUAGUUGAACCCAUGGCUGCAGCUGCAACUACAAGCCAAAUAGUAGCGGACCCAAACAUGGGCACAGGUCCAGCACCAGUCACAGUUGCAGCUGCAAAAGCAACCGCAACCGCAAUUGCAGCUGCAAAAGCAACCGCAACCGCAAUUGCAGCUGCAAAAGCAACCGCAACCGCAA